rnacentral:piRNA from 1 species
UAAAGGCUCUCAAUCUCUCAA